rnacentral:rRNA from 1 species
ACGGUCAAAUCACGCUGAAACACCGGUUCUCGUUCGAUCACCGAAGUUAAGCAUCGUAGAGCCAGGUCAGUACUUAGAUGGGGGGACCGCUUGGGAACACCUGGUACUGUAAG